GCUUGGCUGGGGGCUCUGGGAGGGAGCAGAGGGAAGGGAGGCUCAGCGAUGGGGCUGAUGGGGCCUGGACAUUGGUGGGGAGAUGAAGUAUGAGGGCAGUGAAGAGGCCUGGGGCACGUGGGAGCUUUAGAGGGGCAGGUGUGGGAGAGUAGGGUGGUUUGGGGGCAGGUUGGCUGGGGUAAGGCUGAGUGGAGCCGCCUCUCCAGUCAGGAGCAGCUCAGCUACCGGCAGUGACGAUCCCAGGGGGUGGUAGGUGCUAACUCUGGUGCAACUGCCCUCACCAAAUGGGUACAUUUCAGCCUGCCCUUGGCCAAACUGUGUCUGGUUUAUGAUCACAAAAGGAAAAAAAAAAAAAAUCUCAUGGACUGAGCACAUGGCCUCCCAAGCUGUAGUCUUGGCUCUCAGUCUUGGUGUUGAACUUGAUUACAGCUGGAGGAAUUCUAAACAGUCCACUUCUCCUUGUCUUGGUGUUUGAGCGCAUUGUGCUCCUGUCUGAACAGAGGAAAUCACUGAGGUCAGUCUCCCUUGUGUUUACAGUUGCUUUCCCUUUCAGAAGUAUGGGGGCAAGGAAUCAUCAAAAUAACAAUUCGUACUGACAUCCUGAUAAUAAAUGAAUAGAAACAGUUACAUAAGACACAAACUUUGUCAAAGGUGUGUUUGUAGGGAUGGCUUCUACUUUUGAAUUCAGGCUUAAACUGAAGGGACAGUGCACUCGGUUAUAAAGUACCCUGCAAAUAUUCAGUUUUGAAGUGUCCCCAGUAUGAAAUAAUCCAAUUAAUCUAGUAUUACUGAUCCUGCUGAAAUAAAACAAGCGAAACAAACUUCCUUCCUAUUUUCCCAUAAUCUAAUAGGUAUUUUGUAUCAUAAGGCUUUGUAUCCAGCAGGCCUUUGAGGGUGAUGCUGGAUACUAUGUAUGUAAACUUGGCAUUUACCUUUAGACAAGCAGAGCUACUGGGGACUAUUCAACCUGGGAUGGGGGAAAGUUGAGACCAGAGAUUGGCUGAAACAACUGUGGACCACACCUAGAGUUUUGUGAACUUGGCACAUAGUGGUCUGACACUUUGCCUUUUCAAAUCCCAAUAGGAAAAGUAAGACAGAUGUGGAUCACUUCAAACACAUGUAGUUUAGGUAUGGGGAGAAGCAAACUAAAGGUUUAUCUGAUUAUCUCAACCUCGAAGUUGGCAGCUAUGACAGGAAACUUGGAUUCAUUCAUCUGCCAAAGAUAUUUGUAGUGUAUCAUUUGACAAGUUAAAAGGCAUUUUUGUAAUGACAGAAAAAUAAAACCAUUCACUUUCUGAAAA